AUACCCUCUAGCUCCAUCCAUGUUGUUGCAAAUGUUUGCACGUGAUAGAAGCCUGAACACAGGAUGCCUGACUCCAGCAUCAUUGCGCUGUUCCUGCCUCCACAGCCCAUGUAUUCACACACCCACACGUAGCGUGUGGGCUUCUUCAGCCUUGUGUGAUCCUCACUCUCUCUUGCACACACAGAGAUACACAGGGGGUCAUUGGUUUUGAUCUUGCCCUUCCUGCCUUGCCCUUUCCAUAAGUGGCACCUCAGUGACUUCAGGGGGUACCAGAAGAAGAAGAGAAAGAGAAAGUGUCUUUGAGGAAGUAAUUG